rnacentral:rRNA from 1 species
GACGUAGGAGGCGAGCGUUGUCCGGAUUUACUGGGCGUAAAGCGCGCGCAGGCGGUCGCGCAGGUCAUCUGUGAAAACUCGAGGCUCAACCUCGAGAUGUCGGCGGAAACCGUCUGGCUAGAGUCCGGAAGAGGAGAGUGGAAUUCCUGGUGUAGCGGUGAAAUGCGCAGAUAUCAGGAAGAACACCUAUGGCGAAGGCAGCUCUCUGGGACGGUACUGACGCUGAGACGCGAAAGCGUGGGGAGCGAACAGG